AUUGAACGCUGGCGGCAUGCCUUACACAUGCAAGUCGAACGGCAGCACGGGUGCUUGCACCUGGUGGCGAGUGGCGAACGGGUGAGUAAUACAUCGGAACAUGUCCUGUAGUGGGGGAUAGCCCGGCGAAAGCCGGAUUAAUACCGCAUACGAUCUACGGAUGAAAGCGGGGGACCUUCGGGCCUCGCGCUAUAGGGUUGGCCGAUGGCUGAUUAGCUAGUUGGUGGGGUAAAGGCCUACCAAGGCGACGAUCAGUAGCUGGUCUGAGAGGACGACCAGCCACACUGGGAGUGAGACACGGCCCAGACUCCUACGGGAGGCAGCAGUGGGGAAUUUUGGACAAUGGGCGAAAGCCUGAUCCAGCAAUGCCGCGUGUGUGAAGAAGGCCUUCGGGUUGUAAAGCACUUUUGUCCGGAAAGAAAUCCUUGGCCCUAAUACGGUCGGGGGAUGACGGUACCGGAAGAAUAAGCACCGGCUAACUACGUG
rnacentral:rRNA from 1 species